rnacentral:rRNA from 1 species
CUGAUCAGCCUGCCCCGUGGGGAUGAACGGCUUCUGGUUGUUAAACUCUUUCGGCAGGGAAGAAAACGGCGGGGCGAAUAAACCUGUUGGAUGACCGUACCUGUAGAAGAAGGACCGGUUCACUACGUGCCAGCAGCCGCUGCAAUACGAAGGGUGCUAGCGUUAAUCGGAUUUACUGGGCGUAAAGCGUGCGCAGGCGGCCCGUUAAGACCGGUGUGAAAUCCCUGGGCUCAACCUAGGAAUUGCGCUUGUGACUGGAGGGCUUUUGUGCGGGAGAGGGGGGUGGAAUUCCUGGUGUAGCAGUGAAAUGCGUUAAUAUGUGGAAGAACACCCAUGGCGAAGGCAGCCCCCUGGGACUGUACUGAAGCUCAUGCACGAAAACGUGGGGAGCAAACAGGAUUAGAUACCCUGGUAGUCCACGCCCUAAACGAUGGGUACUAGUUGUUUGGUGCGCGAUAUCGCUGAAUGGCGAAGCUAACCCGUGAAGUACCCCACCUGGGGAGUACGGUCGAAAGGGUGAAACUCAAAGGAAUUGACGG